rnacentral:rRNA from 1 species
GGGCCCGCACAAGCGGUGGAGCAUGUGGUUUAAUUCGAUGAUACGCGAGGAACCUUACCAGGGCUUAAAUGUAGAACGACCGAUUUGGAAACAAGUCCUCUCUUUGAGCGGUCUACAAGGUGCUGCAUGGUUGUCGUCAGCUCGUGCCGUGAGGUGUCGGGUUAAGUCCCUUAACGAGCGCAACCCUAUCUCUAGUUGCCAGCGGAUAAUGCCGGGGACUCUAGAGAAACUGCCCGCGCAAGCGGUGAGGAAGGCGGGGAUGACGUCAAUCAUCACGGCCCUUACGUCCUGGGCUACACACGUGCUACAAUGGUCGGUACAAUGGGCCAGCAAUGCCGCGAGGUGGAGCUAA